GAGCAGGGCAGGGAGGAUAGCAUUUGAAAGGUAAAUAAGGAAAAUAUCUAAUUAAAAAAAAAGAAAUGAGAAGUGUUCUAUUCUUAAUUUGUUUCAUUCUGUGUUUGUUUGUUUUUGAGACAGGGAGUCUUUAUUAUGUAGCGCUGGCUGUCCUACAACUAACUACCUAGACCAGGCUGCCAUUGAACUCACAGAGAUCCAUGUGUUUUUUACUCCCAAGUGUUGGGAUUAAUGACAUGUGUCACCACAUCUGACUAAAAUCUCUUAGUUUACAGCUAUCCCAGCAUUCCAUUUUAAUUGCUGCGUUGUUCUAGAGCAUUUUUAGUUUAGUUUUGUUUUGUUUUUUCGAGACAGCGUUUCUCUGUAUAGCCUUGGCUGUCCUGGAACUCACUCUGUAGACCAGGCUGGCCUCGAACUCAGAAAUUGGCCUGCCUCUGCCUCCCAAGUGCUGGGAUUAAAGGCGUUCGCCACUAUGCCCAGCAAUUCUAGAGCUUUGGGAGUGGGGGUAUAUAUAUGUUCUGACUUCUUCACUCACCUCUCCCAGAAGACUCUGGUUGGCAAGUGUUGGCACUUAGGGAACAGGUCUGCAGAGCACCUGUGCAUAUUACCCUGUACCUGCCUGCUUGACUGGCUAGUGGAAUUUAGUUUUCCCAUAUGUCAGUCAGAUCUGUCUCGGAAGUCAUUACUUCAGGUACAUACCCAUUUACAUGCUUGGAUUUGUUGAAUCUUAGCUUAUGUUAUAAAGGCAAGUAUGGUUCUUAUGUGAGCUACUUCUGGUAAGAAUUCUUGGAUUAUAUGUUAUGAAAUGAUACUUAACUAUAUACUAGUAAUGUGUCAAAUGCUGUAGAGUUCAUGACACUGAGCACAAUACACAGAUUAUAGUUUAUUAUCAUCAUCAUAUUGAGAGAGGGUUUCUCUGUGUAGCUCUGGAUAGUCUUUAACUCACUCUGCAGACUAGACUGGCCUCAGACUCAGAGAUCUGCCUACCUCUGCCUCAGAGAUCUGCCUACCUCUGCCUCCAGAGUGCUGGAUUAACAGCAAGAGUCCCUGCUACCUGACAGAUUUUUUAGUUUCUUAAUUAAUUCCUUCACUGUGCUCUUUCAUUCCUAGCAUUUUUUAAUAUUAAUUUGCUGCCUAUAUACUUGAGAAAUGACUAUAAACAUUAAAUAUAAAAAAUUAAUGUAUUCAUACGUAUAUGUCUUAAAUAUAUGUAAUUAGCACAUUCAUGCAUAGUCCUAAUUGCAUGGUGGGCUGAUGCUGGAGGAUCACUUUUAUCCAGUGAGUUUGAGACUAAUCUGGGGAAAAUAUUCAGGCCUCACUUUAAAAAUGAAAAGUAUUUAGAAUUAGUUGAUAAACUGUCAGAUUGUAAAAUACUAAACUAAAAUGACACUUUCUACUUACUCCAAGUAGAGCUACAAAGACGUGUUACUUUUAAUAAUAAAAUAUUACUGUAAAACUUUAUUGUGCUUGUCCCCCUUUUGUAUCAAAAUGUAACUGUGUAACUGUGAUUGGUCUUGAACUUGUAAUCCUUUUUCCCUAUUUCUGAAAGCUUAAGAAAUAAAACAUUCACUCUCUUAAACUCUCACUUCUCAUUGUCAUCUCUAGCUCUCCUUCUUCCCCUCCUUUCCCCCGUCUCUGCACAUGGCCAUGGCUGGCCUCUCCUUCUCUAUCUUCUCUCUUUCUUUCUGUCUUUCUACAAUAGGGCUCUAAAAACCAUG
rnacentral:lncRNA from 1 species